rnacentral:lncRNA from 1 species
CCGCUUGAAGCUUUGAGUCAUCUCCCCCAGCUGUGCACAUUUCCUGUCCCUGCUAAGAUUCAGUGAAUGACCUCAUGCACGCUUAGCCAAUAUGAGCUAAAGGCUGCCGUCCGACAAAUAAGCAUCACCAAGGACAGGGAUCUCAAGGCCACCUCCAUCCCAGGGCCAGUCACUCGACCACUUUCCUGGCCCCAAAUCCCUCAUCAAAAGGAGAAGAUCUGGGUUCUUUCCAGAGCAAGCCCGAAUCCCUCUCCUUUUCUUUUCCUUCGCCCCCUAAAUGAUGUCAACAAAUACUUCUUUUGCUGAGUGAAGAGUUUGGCCUUCCCUUUCCUGAUGAAAAAAAAAAAAAAAAAAAAAAAAAAAGGUGAAGUGAGAGAGAAGGGGAGAUUUAAAAAAAAAAAAAAAAGAGUACAAAGGAUGAGGAUUCUCAAGUGUCCUGGAGGAGAGACUCCGAACAGAGAGGAGGAGACGGAGGGCAAGGGGCUCAGGGAGCUGUGGCCCCGUAGCCCCUGGUGUGUUUAAAUUUGGUGAUACCCUUCAUUUCCCAGAGAAGUCAUCUGAGGCCCCGAGAGGUGACUGGAGUGAGGUCAGAUCAUACAGCCAGGUUAAAAAAUAAUAAUAAUCAUUACAACUGGAGCUCACCAUUUCUGGUGCCUGCUUUUCACAUGGGGAAUGAUUUUAAAAGGGAAAGGCAGUUCUCCCAGACGAAGGAAAAAAGACCCGCAGACCUGAAUUAAUUGAGUCAGCAAGCAUUUACGGAGCCCCUGCUGUGUGUCCUUCACUGCCCUAGGCGCUGGGCAAUAGAGAGAAACAGGACACACACACACACACACCCCCCCCCACUCUCAGGCUUCUCAGGCUCCUCAGGCCACUGGGUAAGGCAGAGAGAUCAUGUCUGCAACAAAACCUAGUAAGUGUCAUGACUGUGCUGUGUUUAUGAUGCUAAGGGGGUGGCAGAGGGACCCGAUCCAUAAUUUAUGGGCCUCGGUGCAAAACAGAAAUGCAGAGUCCCUUAUUUUUUC